GGCAAGUUCCUAGAGACAUAUCAAUCAACACGGAGGUGCAGCUUAAGUGAUAUCAGGCAAACAAUACAUCGAAGUAGCGUGUUGUGGAUGUAAAGUCGUAACAGU
rnacentral:rRNA from 1 species